GACGAACCGUGCGAACGUUGUUCGGAAUCACUGGGCUUAAAGGGCGCGUAGGCGGCUGCCAAGUCAGUGGUGAAAUCCCACAGCUUAACUGUGGAAGUGCCUUUGACUACGUGGCGAGCUCGAGGGAGGUAGGGGUAUGUGGAACUUCUGGUGGAGCGGUGAAAUGCGUUGAUAUCAGGAGGAACACCCAUGGCGAAGGCAGCAACUGGUCCGUAUCUGACGCUGAGGCGCGAAAGCGUGGGUAGCAAACAGG
rnacentral:rRNA from 1 species